AGUGAACGCUGGCGGUAGGCCUAACACAUGCAAGUCGAACGGCAGCACAGUAAGAGCUUGCUCUUACGGGUGGCGAGUGGCGGACGGGUGAGGAAUACAUCGGAAUCUACUUUUUCGUGGGGGAUAACGUAGGGAAACUUACGCUAAUACCGCAUACGACCUACGGGUGAAAGCAGGGGAUCUUCGGACCUUGCGCGAUUGAAUGAGCCGAUGUCGGAUUAGCUAGUUGGCGGGGUAAAGGCCCACCAAGGCGACGAUCCGUAGCUGGUCUGAGAGGAUGAUCAGCCACACUGGAACUGGGACACGGUCCAGACUCCUACGGGAGGCAGCAGUGGGAAUAUUGGACAAUGGGCGCAAGCCUGAUCCAGCCAUACCGCGUGGGUGAAGAAGGCCUUCGGGUUGUAAAGCCCUUUUGUUGGGAAAGAAAAGCAGCAGGUUAAUACCCCGCUGUUCUGACGGUACCCAAAGAAUAAGCACCGGCUAACUUCGUG
rnacentral:rRNA from 1 species